UACGGGGGGGGCAAGCGUUGUUCGGAAUUACUGGGCGUAAAGGGCUCGUAGGCGGCCAACUAAGUCCGACGUGAAAUCCCCAGGCUUAACCUGGGAACUGCGUCGGAUACUGGAUGGCUUGAAUCCGGGAGAGGGAUGCGGAAUUCCAGGUGUAGCGGUGAAAUGCGUAGAUAUCUGGGGGAACACCGGUGGCGAAGGCGGCAUCCUGGACCGGCAUUGACGCUGAUGAGCGAAAGCCAGGGGAGCAAACGGG
rnacentral:rRNA from 1 species